GGCAGAGUGGCCGACUGGUCUAGGGCACUGCGUUAAGGCCGCAGUUCGAAAGGGCGUGGGUUUGAACCCCACUUCUGUCA
rnacentral:tRNA from 1 species